rnacentral:tRNA from 1 species
CAGGGAGACAACAAAAUGUUUAAUAUUAUUUUGUCACCUUAGGUCGAUCGGUAUCUCACGUUCUUAAUUUAUUAAGAAUUUCAUUUCCUAAGUUUUUCUAGGUCACACCCAUUAUUUUUCCUGGGCCAUUAGCUCAGGUGGUUAGAGCGCACCCCUGAUAAGGGUGAGGUCCCUGGUUCAAGUCCAGGAUGGCCCAUAUCUCUAUGUUGGGGGUAUAGCUCAGUUGGUAGAGCGCCUGCUUUGCAAGCAGGAUGUCAGCGGUUCGAGUCCGCUUACCUCCACUGAUUACCACCUCUUGCAUAAUCUUUAUUAAGGAAAAAUUUUUGAGUUUUGAUCAUAAGUCUGAACGAAUCUAGCUUCCUAAUGAAAUCAUUAAGAUGCUGGACUCAUUGAAUUAUUUUCAUUGUUUUCAGAGAACCUUGACAACUGCAUAGAUUAUUUUUAAAGACAAUAAGCAUCUUUAAUGAUGCAGAUUUAUUAUUUGUGCGAAUGCAUUAAUAACAAUUCUAUUAAGCUGAUGCUUCAAUUUUGAAGUUAUU